GAGGAAAUUAUCAUUUACAACUUUGGAAAAUUUCUGAAGAGAGUUCAAAAUGGUAAAGUAUGCACCCCGUGGGUUGACCUCAUAACUGAGCAAGAAGAAGACGUUGUUCUAAACACGGGUCAUAUACUACAGGCGUUGUUGGGGAGUCCAUUCAUUCCCCGAAAUUUCCCCAGUGGUCUGAUCAUAUUUGACCACAACUCGAAUGAAAUCACACAUGUUAACACAUGUGCACCAUCCAUCACUUUUUCGAACUUAAAUUCUUUAAGAAAUUAUAAAAAUUUAACAGAAAUGCUGAUAAACGUUAUUGUGUGUGCGUACGGAUUUGGUACUUGUUAACUCUUCAAACGCCAGAUUGUUUUAAUUUUCGUACCCUGAAACGCCACGGGGAAAUGCUUUUCAAAGUCAAAAUUAUUUAAACCGUGAAAAAGAAACCACUAUAUUUUUUUCAAUGUAACGAAAGCCCUGAUAGUUAUCUUCUCAACCAUGUGUCGCGUUUGUGUGCAAACUAUAUUCAACACGAGUUACACGACUUUGUUACAUGGUACCUGCUUGUCACAUUUAUGCGACUGUGGCGUUUGAGCGUGCAGUCGCAUAAAUGCGACUAUGGCGUUUGAAGGGUUCAUGAGUCCAUAAGAUAAUUUUCCUUUGAGAUAUCGCAUCCAAGUUAGAUAUCGCAUCCAUCGUUUAGUUUACAUUUGGCUCGUACUUACUCAACAGGCUACAUUUUUUCAUGGAUUCCUUUGAGUUUUAUUUUGUGUCUUAGAUCAUUCCCUUAAUACUGAAAUUGUUUUUUGGAGAGUGAGCUGAAGCCAAAUGUGAAUGGAUGGGUGACUUGUGCUCACUAUCAAGCUGGUGGUGAGCAUCCGCUUGAGUGGCUUGCCGCAAGCUUAUGUUCACAUUUGGCUCGUGCUCACUCUACAGGCUACAAUUUUUUAUGAAUACUUUUUAGUUAUAUAUUUCAAGUCAAUAUCAUUUUGAAGAUGAUCCCUAUUAAUUUUGGUGACGAUGCGAUAACUUUUCUCCGAAUAAUGGCAUCAAAUUCAUAAAAUGCAUUCAUUUCCAUACGCCCACAAGAUAGUAUGCGUAUAUAUUGUAAAGGCCCUAUCGGUCCGUCCACGUUUACCUCAUGCUCACUCUACAGGCUAUAAUUCUUCAUCGAUUCUUUUGAGAUUUAUUGUGUGUGUCAAUAGCAUUAUGAAAAGGAUCCCUAUUGAAUUUGGUGAUGAUCCGAUAAUUUAUCUCGGAGAUAUCGCAUCAAACUCUAAUUUCGCAUUUGUUUCUGAACGACCACACGUAAAUGUGGGCGUAUAUUGUAAUCACCCCUGUCCGUCCGUCGGUCUCUUCACAUUUACCUUGUGCUCACUCUUCAUGGAUUCUUUUGAGAUUUAUUGUGUGUGUCAAUGUCAUCAUAAAGAUGAUCCCUAUUGAUUUUGGUGACAAUCCGAUAAUUCGACAUCGAUAUUCAUAACUUGAGUUAUUGCCCUUGCUUAAAAAUUCACAAGAUCUUGGAAGAGUUCGAAUUUGAACACGAUUCUACAAAUAUUUUCGGAGUUACUGCUCUUGAUAUACAAAAAAUACGUUAAAAGUGACUUGUGAGAGCAAUAGAGGCCACAGUUUUUGUCAGAUUUUUAUAAAAAUUUGGUGUGUAGAUUUAUAUCCACAAGAUCUCAGAUGAGUAGUUCGAAUCUGAACACGAUUCGACACUAUUUUCAGAGUUAAGGCCCUUGAUAUACCAAAAAUGUCCAAAGUGGCAUGUGAAUGCAUUAAAGGCCACAGUUUUUGUCCGAUUUUUAUUAAAUUUGGUGUGUAGGUUUGUAUCCACAAGAUCUCGGACGAGUUCGAAUCUGAUAUAUUCUGAAAGUGGGCGUAUCUUGCAUGGCAACCGCUUGUUUAAGAUGAGAUGCUUGGCCAUAAUUUCCCGUUUGUAUUUUAGAUUAUUUAGAACAAACAUUGCAUAAUUAAAACUUAUUGUUUAUUAAAUUAAUUUCAAUAAGAAUAUUGUAGACAUGUUCUUUCCAAAUAUACCUUAUUUCACAAACCUUUUUCUAUACAAAGUUACAUACCUGCAUGUUGAUUUGAAAUUUGAAUUAAAGUUAUAUGUACA